AACAAAUCAACUCUUUGGUUUUUUGAUACAAUGUUUAACUCUUCGUCUUAUUUAAAAUAAAAUUUAUGAUUAAUAAUUUUAUUUUUAUUAGAUGAUAAAACAAGAAUAGUACUUUAUGUGUGAUUAAUUUUUUUUAAAAUUACUUGAAAUUUUUUCAAAUAAGACGGAUGGUCAAAUGCUCGACACAAAAACC
rnacentral:pre_miRNA from 1 species